rnacentral:lncRNA from 1 species
UCAGUUUGAAGAUAUAAAUGAAGACUCUCAUAAGUGUGCACCUUCCAAUAUAAAUAUAUGCCAAGAUUAGUUCACACCCCAUCCAAGUGUUCUCGAUGGAUUGCAAGACCACCGUUGUUGUGGCAUCCAUGUUGAUAUUGAUGCUACUUGUGUCUUUCGGUAGGAAGGAUAAUAUAUUAUUUCAUACAUAUGUAGUUUUUGGCGUGCAUGCUGCGGAGAGAGCACCGUCACAAGGAGACAAUUUUACUCCUCACAACAAUCUUCAACUAUUAAUUAUUGGGAUGGAUAUUGAACAUUUCCUAUCUUCUACAAUUAAUGCCAAGGCUAAGUAGUAAGCUCUUCCAAUCUUCUAAAACUAAUGUCAAGGAUAGGAAGCCAAUAUUUUAAAUCUUUAACAAUUAAUGCCACAAAAGGCUAUUAUUGUUGUGAGACCUCGGUUUGAAGAUAUAGAUGAAGACUCUCAUAACUGUGCACUUUCCAAUGUAAAUACAUGCAAGAUUAGUUCACACCCCAUCCAAGUGUUCUCGAUGGCUCGCAAGACCACCAUCGUUGUGGCAUCCAUGUUGGCAUUGAUGCUCCUUAUGUCUUUUGGUAAGUAGGAGAAUAUAUCAUUUCAUACAUAUGUAGGGAUUUUAUGUUUUUCAUCAUGUAUUAAACCUUUAUUUCUUUAAGGAUGUAGGAUUUUGCAUUGUAACAAAAUUUCUUUCAUUUAUAUAGGCGAGGUUCAAGGGAAGUGUCUUGAGGAACGCAUCAAGCUCGCAUGUGAUAAUUGGGUCAAAUGUUUUGAGUGGUGUCGUCUCUUUGGUGAUACGAAAGGGUACUGUGAUAAAGGUUCAUGUGUAUGUGUGAAUUGCUUUGUGCAAUCGUCUGGCCACCAUUAUGCAGAGGUUCCACCACUAAAUUCUGAUCAUCUUGAGUAGUUCAUUGUAGUUGUCAAAUUAAUGGUAAUUGGUUGUCCUAUAGAUAACUAAGUGCAUUGGUUAUGAUAUUCUUUUUUUUAUGCAAAUUUCUGAUAUGACAUAGUAAGUUUUCCUAUGGCAAGGUACAAUAACAUGUUCACCC